GACCUGGUUCUUCAAAGCCCCUGCUGCAAGCGGCUCACUGACCCUCUGCAGCUUCUUUCUGAUCCCAUCGCCUCAUCUACAGGGCAGGGGGACAGAUGCCAUGACACCCAGCUCCAUCCUGCCUCCCCACCAGGCUCUGAAUCAAGGUCCAUCACCUCUGCUUUUUAUGCCAGCGGAUCCCUGAGCUGCCUGAUAGUUCGUGACUCCACCUGGCGAUGACUCCUCAUCAGGAAGCUGAGCCCCUCCGGAUGCCUCAGAAAGAGAAACCAGCACUUCCCCACAUGGCUCUUCAGUGGCCGCCACCCUGGACAUCGGAGCUGUGGCUUCUCCUGCUGGAUGGAUGCCCACAGCCCUGGAGAGAGCACGGAUGUGAGGACUUGAAAGGCUCCCACUUAUCACCGAGGAAGCAGGAGGAGGACAAGAGCCCCUCUGCCUCUGGAGAGAGAGACCCGGAACCUGGUGCUCCAACCAAAUGCUGUAGCUGGGACCAUCCAUCUUGGAGAAGCGGUCCAGGCCAACUGGAAAGUGUCCAGAGGUGCCACAGCCACGCUGAGUCCAAGGAAACAGUGCCGAGCAUCCAGAGUCACAGGGGCAGCAGCCAAGAAGAUGGUUCCCGAGGUUCACCUUUGCCUGGCCUCGUUUCCCACUGCGCCCUGGUUUGUGCCUUCUGCUCACACUGGAUGCUGCCUUGCCUUUCACAGUUGGUCUUGUUUCAUUUCUUCUGUGGACCAGCUGACUGA
rnacentral:lncRNA from 1 species